UUUUUAAUUGAAAUCUUGAAUGAAUGGUUGGACAAAAGAAAUACUGUCUUUGCAUUAAAAAUUGAAUUUAACUUUUAAGUGAAAAGGCUUAAAUGUUCUAGAAAGACGAUAAGACCCUAUAAAGCUUUACAUUUAAAUUAAUUUCUUAUUUAAUUUUGGAAAUAAAGAUUUGAUUUAGUUAUUUUUGUUUUGUUGGGGAGACAAUAGCAAAAUUUUUGUUAACUGCUAAAUUAUUAAACAGUGAUGAGUGUAUAAAUAUAUUAAUAGAUCCUUUUUAAAGACUGAAAGAUUAAGUUACUUUAGGGAUAACAGCGUUAUUUCUUUUGAGAGUUCGUAUCGAAAAAGAGGAUUGCGACCUCGAUGUUGGAUUAAAAUAUCUUUAUAAUGCAGCUGUUAUAAGAGAAAGUCUGUUCGACUUUUAAAUUUUUAC
rnacentral:rRNA from 1 species